rnacentral:rRNA from 1 species
CGGAGCUUGCUCCACCGGAAAAAGAAGAGUGGCGAACGGGUGAGUAACACGUGGGUAACCUGCCCAUCAGAAGGGGAUAACACUUGGAAACAGGUGCUAAUACCGUAUAACAAUCGAAACCGCAUGGUUUUGAUUUGAAAGGCGCUUUCGGGUGUCGCUGAUGGAUGGACCCGCGGUGCAUUAGCUAGUUGGUGAGGUAACGGCUCACCAAGGCCACGAUGCAUAGCCGACCUGAGAGGGUGAUCGGCCACAUUGGGACUGAGACACGGCCCAAACUCCUACGGGAGGCAGCAGUAGGGAAUCUUCGGCAAUGGACGAAAGUCUGACCGAGCAACGCCGCGUGAGUGAAGAAGGUUUUCGGAUCGUAAAACUCUGUUGUUAGAGAAGAACAAGGAUGAGAGUAACUGUUCAUCCCUUGACGGUAUCUAACCAGAAAGCCACGGCUAACUACGUGCCAGCAGCCGCGGUAAUACGUAGGUGGCAAGCGUUGUCCGGAUUUAUUGGGCGUAAAGCGAGCGCAGGCGGUUUCUUAAGUCUGAUGUGAAAGCCCCCGGCUCAACCGGGGAGGGUCAUUGGAAACUGGGAGACUUGAGUGCAGAAGAGGAGAGUGGAAUUCCAUGUGUAGCGGUGAAAUGCGUAGAUAUAUGGAGGAACACCAGUGGCGAAGGCGGCUCUCUGGUCUGUAACUGACGCUGAGGCUCGAAAGCGUGGGGAGCAAACAGGAUUAGAUACCCUGGUAGUCCACGCCGUAAACGAUGAGUGCUAAGUGUUGGAGGGUUUCCGCCCUUCAGUGCUGCAGCUAACGCAUUAAGCACUCCGCCUGGGGAGUACGACCGCAAGGUUGAAACUCAAAGGAAUUGACGGGGGCCCGCACAAGCGGUGGAGCAUGUGGUUUAAUUCGAAGCAACGCGAAGAACCUUACCAGGUCUUGACAUCCUUUGACCACUCUAGAGAUAGAGCUUCCCCUUCGGGGGCAAAGUGACAGGUGGUGCAUGGUUGUCGUCAGCUCGUGUCGUGAGAUGUUGGGUUAAGUCCCGCAACGAGCGCAACCCUUAUUGUUAGUUGCCAUCAUUUAGUUGGGCACUCUAGCAAGACUGCCGGUGACAAACCGGAGGAAGGUGGGGAUGACGUCAAAUCAUCAUGCCCCUUAUGACCUGGGCUACACACGUGCUACAAUGGGAAGUACAACGAGUCGCGAAGUCGCGAGGCUAAGCUAAUCUCUUAAAGCUUCUCUCAGUUCGGAUUGUAGGCUGCAACUCGCCUACAUGAAGCCGGAAUCGCUAGUAAUCGCGGAUCAGCACGCCGCGGUGAAUACGUUCCCGGGCCUUGUACACACCGCCCGUCACACCACGAGAGUUUGUAACACCCGAAGUCGGUGAGGU